GGAAGAGAAAGAGAGGAAGGAAGAUACCACCUGCUAAGGCCACCUGGUUUUCAUCAGCAGCUCCUGCAGGUAUGGAAGUGUCAGUCGAGGUCUUGCACUGACUUCUAAAUGCAGGGGUCCCAGGCUUUGGACGAGGCUCCUGCACUUCUUUCCUGGGAAACUUGCUCUCUGUUCAGUGACAGUCCCCUGGGCCUGGCGUCACACCUGCAUGGGGUCUCCUCAAGCUGCUGGGUGACAAUGCCCAGCUCCAUUCCAUGGACGUCUCGGCUGCAACAUCCUCAAGUUUCUCUUCCUUCUGCCAGCUGAUGGAGGAACAUUCGAAAAAG
ensembl:lncRNA